rnacentral:rRNA from 1 species
UACGGAGGAUCCGAGCGUUAUCCGGAUUUAUUGGGUUUAAAGGGUGCGCAGGCGGAGAUAUAAGUCAGUGGUGAAAAACUGCCGCUCAACGGUAGUCUUGCCAUUGAUACUGUUUCUCUUGAGUAUGGAUGAGGUAGGCGGAAUGUGCAGUGUAGCGGUGAAAUGCAUAGAUAUUGCACGGAACACCAAUUGCGAAGGCAGCUUACUGGGCCAUUACUGACGCUCAGGCACGAAAGCGUGGGGAUCAAACA